rnacentral:rRNA from 1 species
AUUGAACGCUGGCGGAAUGCUUUACACAUGCAAGUCGAACGGCAGCACGGACUUCGGUCUGGUGGCGAGUGGCGAACGGGUGAGUAAUGUAUCGGAACGUGCCCAGUCGUGGGGGAUAACGUAGUGAAAAUUACGCUAAUACCGCAUACGAUCUAUGGAUGAAAGCGGGGGAUCGCAAGACCUCGCGCGAUUGGAGCGGCCGAUAUCAGAUUAGGUAGUUGGUGGGGUAAAGGCCCACCAAGCCAACGAUCUGUAGCUGGUCUGAGAGGACGACCAGCAACACUGGACCUGAGACACGGUCCAGACGCCUACGGGAGGCAGCAGUGGGGAAUUUUGGACAAUGGGCGAAAGCCUGAUCCAGCCAUUCCGCGUGCAGGAUGAAGGCCCUCGGGUUGUAAACUGCUUUUGUACAGAACGAAAAGGUUUCUACUAAUACUAGGAGCUCAUGACGGUACUGUAAGAAUAAACACCGGCUAACUACGUGCCAGCCGCCGCCGUAA